AUCCAGCUGACGAGUCUCAAAUAGGACGAAAUCCGCAUCCGGAU
rnacentral:hammerhead_ribozyme from 1 species